rnacentral:rRNA from 1 species
CGGACGGGUGAGUAAUGUAUGGGGAUCUGCCUGAUGGCGGGGGGUAACUACUGGAAACGGUAGCUAAUACCGCAUAAUGUCUGCGGACCAAAGCGGGGGACCUCCGGGCCUCGCGCCAUCAGAUGAACCCAUAUGGGAUUAGCUUGUAGGUAAGGUAACGGCUUACCUAGGCGACGAUCCCUAGCUGGUCUGAGAGGAUGAUCAGCCACACUGGGACUGAGACACGGCCCAG